rnacentral:rRNA from 1 species
ACUCAAAGGAAUUGACGGGGACCCGCACAAGCGGUGGAUGAUGUGGAUUAAUUCGAUGCAACGCGAAAAACCUUACCUGCGCUUGACAUGCCAGGAACCCCGAAGAGAUUUGGGGGUGCCCGAAAGGGAGCCUGGACACAGGUGCUGCAUGGCUGUCGUCAGCUCGUGUCGUGAGAUGUUGGGUUAAGUCCCGCAACGAGCGCAACCCUUAUCCUUAGUUGCUACGCAAGGGCACUCUAAGGAGACUGCCGGUGACAAACCGGAGGAAGGUGGGGAUGACGUCAAGUCCUCAUGGCCCUUAUGCGCAGGGCUUCACACGUCAUACAAUGGUCGGUACAGAGGGUCGCCAACCCGCGAGGGGGAGCCAAUCCGAGAAAGCCGAUCGUAGUCCGGAUUGCAGUCUGCAACUCGACUGCAUGAAGUCGGAAUCGCUAGUAAUCGCGGAUCAGCAUGUCGCGGUGAAUACGUUCCCGGGUCUUGCACACACCGCCCGU